AGCGCCGCCUCGCGUCCCUUCCCUGACCUGCUCCCGGCGGACGCGGAGAAGUUUGUUGGCCUGGAGGCUGGAAUAUACCGGGGAUCAAAUGCAGAGAAUGGAGAAAAGAGGGAAGGAUGGGGGGACGUGUUGAAGAAAUGAGGGAAGAGAUAGGAAGAAAAGGGGAGAGAAAAAGUAAAGGAGAGUUUUUUUGUUUUUUGUUUUUUUUUUUUGAGACGGAGUCUUGCUCUGUCGCCCAGGCUGGAGUGCAGUGGCGCGAUCUUGGCUCACUGCAAGCUCCGCCUCCCGGGUUCAGGGCAUUCUGCUGCCUCAGCCUCUGGAGUAGCUGGGACUACAGGCUCCUGCCACCACGCCCGACUAAUUUUUUGUAUUUUUAGUAGAGACGGGGUUUCACUGUGUUAGCCAGGAUGGUCUCGAUCUCCUGACCUCGUGAUCUGCCUGCCUUGGCCUCUCAAAGUGCUGGGAUUACAGGCGUGAGCCACCGCACCCGGCCGGAGAGAGAAAAUUUAAAAGACGUAGUUUCAUUAUUUCUUUUAUUUUUGCCCUUUAUCUAGUUUUACUUAUGAACAUUUUUACCACAAAUUUCUCUCUCUCUAAAUCUGUAAAUAUGCUGCUAUUAUUGUUAUUUCAGAGCCUGUGAGGGUAAGUUGCAGACAGCAUGACCCUCUACCUCCAGAUGUGUCAGGGUGUGUCUCCUGGGCACAAGAACAGGGUUUUUGUUUUGUUUUGUUUCACAUAAGCAAAGUACAAGUCUCAAAGAGGAUAAUAUUUUUAAAUCAUCUUAUUGGGACAUACUUUGCAUGCAAUAAACUGCAUCUAUUUAAAAUGUUCAACUUGUUGAAUUUUAGCUGUUGUACACACCCACAUCUCCACUACCACAGUGAAGAUAAAGAAGAUUUUAAUCGUCUCCCAAAGAACAGCUACACGAUAAAAUUCUAUGUUGUCAUUAAAAAGAGUAAGAGCAAUUUUAAGUAUUGCUAUGAAAAGAUGUGCCCAGCAUACUUUUAACCUUUUUUAAAAGGUUAAGGAGGCUGGGCACAGUGGCUCAUACCUGUAAUCCCAGAACUUUGGGAGGCUAUGGCAGGCAGAUAACCUGAGGUCAGAAGUUCAAGAUCAGCCUGGCCAACAUGGUGAAACCCUGUCUCUACUGAAAAUGCAAAAAUUAGCCGGGCGUGGUGGUGGGUGCCUGUAGUUCCAGCUGUUUGGGAGGCUGAGGCAGGAGAAUCGCUUGAAUCUGGGAGGUAGAGGUUAGAGUGAGCCGAGAUCAUGCCACUGCAUUCCAGCCUGGGCGAAAAUGCCACUAAUAUCACUUACAUAAUAUUAAUAUAUAUUUGAAGUAGGGGAAAACCUGGAAGAUUCCUCACCAAAGUUUUGACAGUGACUCCAGAGACUGGGAUAACUUUGUGACUUUCAUUUCCUCUUAAAUGUUGUGCCAGGGUCUGACCGGCAGACCCAGGCUGCACGAUGGAUGAAUAAUGUACUCAGACACCGAUAUUCAGUGAAAGAGUGCACCAGAGGGCCAGGCCACUCACAGAAAGGGUUGUGGCAGCUGCGUGCCCUGACUAUCUGGCCCUGUGGGCCUUUAUUCAGCACAGAUUUAAUGACAAAGGCUUUGAGUCAACACACCUGUGGGUAAUUAAUCUGGUCGCAGUCCCCCGGAGAGAGCAGUCCUACAAAUGAUCAAAGCAAAGAGAUUCACAGUGUGAGCGAAAUUCAACGUGAGGGGCUUCCUCCGCUGUGAGCUUUGAAAAUGAAGGGGCCAUGUGGCAAAGGAUAUGACGGGCUCCAGGAAUUGAGAACAGCUCCACCCCACCUCCACCUGACAGCUGCCCAGGAACAAGGACUACAAUCCCACAACUGCCUGAAACUGAAUUCUGCCACCAAGCUCUGUAUAAGCUGGAAGGAGGACCCCAGCCUCAAGAUGAGGACACAGCUUCGUGAAAUCCUGAGCUGAGAAUCAUUCACACCAGGCCUGGAUUUCUCAUUAAGGAAAUGUAGAGAAAUAAAUGGGUGCUGUGUAGAGCCAGUGAGUUAGUGGUAAUAUGUUAUGCAGUAACAGAAAAUUCAUACAUAGACCAACAGAUAAGCAUAUAACAUUUUCUCGAUUGGAAUAAAUUAGUGAAUUGAAAUGUACACUCCUUGUAUAAGAUAAAAUCUUUCC
rnacentral:lncRNA from 1 species